UGUUUUUUAAAGUUUUUGAAACAGCUCAGGACGAACGCUGGCGGCGUGCUUAACACAUGCAAGUCGAACGAUGAACCGGUUUCGGCCGGGGAUUAGUGGCGAACGGGUGAGUAACACGUGGGCAAUCUGCCCUGCACUCUGGGAUAAGCCCGGGAAACUGGGUCUAAUACCGGAUACGACACUCCGAGGCAUCUUGGGGUGUGGAAAGUUCCGGCGGUGCAGGAUGAGCCCGCGGCCUAUCAGCUUGUUGGUGGGGUAAUGGCCUACCAAGGCGACGACGGGUAGCCGGCCUGAGAGGGUGACCGGCCACACUGGGACUGAGACACGGCCCAGACUCCUACGGGAGGCAGCAGUGGGGAAUAUUGCACAAUGGGCGAAAGCCUGAUGCAGCGACGCCGCGUGAGGGAUGACGGCCUUCGGGUUGUAAACCUCUUUCAGCAGGGAAGAAGCGAAAGUGACGGUACCUGCAGAAGAAGCACCGGCUAACUACGUGCCAGCAGCCGCGGUAAUACGUAGGGUGCGAGCGUUGUCCGGAAUUAUUGGGCGUAAAGAGCUCGUAGGCGGUUUGUCGCGUCGAUUGUGAAAGCCCGGGGCUUAACCCUGGGUCUGCAGUCGAUACGGGCAGGCUAGAGUUCGGCAGGGGAGACUGGAAUUCCUGGUGUAGCGGUGAAAUGCGCAGAUAUCAGGAGGAACACCGGUGGCGAAGGCGGGUCUCUGGGCCGAUACUGACGCUGAUGAGCGAAAUGACGGG
rnacentral:rRNA from 1 species